AUACGGAGGAUCCGAGCGUUAUCCGGAUUUAUUGGGUUUAAAGGGUGCGCAGGCGGCCAUUUAAGUCAGCGGUUAAAUCGUGGGGCUCAACCCCAUUCUGCCGUUGAUACUGGGUGGCUUGAUUGCGGUCGAGGUUGGCGGAAUUCGUUGUGUAGCGGUGAAAUGCAAAGAUAUGACGAAGAACACCGAUUGCGUAGGCAGCUGACCAGACCGCAAAUGACGCUCAUGCACGAAAGUGCGGGGAUCGAACAGGAUUGGAUACCCUGGUAGUCCGCACAGUAAACGAUGAAUACUUGUUUUCGGCGAUAUAAUGUCGGAGGCAAAGCGAAAGCGAUAAGUAUUCCACCUGGGGAGUACGCCGGCAACGGUGAAACUCAAAUGAAUUGACGGGG
rnacentral:rRNA from 1 species